rnacentral:piRNA from 1 species
AAGAAACUGUUGCCUGGUGAGAGAAAGAG